ACAAGAGCAUAUGGUGGAUGCCUAGGUUUGAAAUGGCGAUGAAGGACGUGGACAAUCUGCGAUAAGUCUCGGGGAGCCGAUUCUCAGGCUUUGAUCCGGGAAUUUCCUAAUGGGGGAACCCCUCUGCUUUUAUAGGCAGAGAUCCGACAGGGAUAACUUCUGUUGGAGGCGCACCUGGGGAAGUAAAACAUUUCAGUACCCAUAGGAAAAGAGACCAAAUAAGGAAUUUCCUUAGUAGCGGCGAGCGAAACGGAACCAGCCCAAACCCUCCUUCGCUUUGUGCUUCGCACAAAGCUUCGGAGGGCGCAGCCUUAUAUACAAGGGGCCGUGCCCUCCCGAAGCUCGUAGCGGAGCGUAGAGCGAAGGAGGGGGUUAUAAGACAAUAGACAUCAUAUGAUGCGCGAUGGGCUUGACUCAUUUAACGAGUCGAGCAUGUCGUGCAGACAGGAUGAGCGAGGUUACAAAUCGUGAGGAUAGGAGAAAGUGCUGGAAAAGCACUAUCAGAGAGGGUGAUAAUCCCGUAUCCGAAAUCUGAACGACCUUUUUUAUUGCUCUUGAGUACUUCGAGACAUGAAUAGCUCGGAGGAAUUUGCCAGUACUCACUGGUAAGGCUACAUACAUUUCAAAACCGAUAGUGAACAAGUACCGUGAGGGAAAGGUGAAAAGAACCCCGGCAAGGGGAGUGAAAUAGAACUGAAACCAUAUGUUUACAAAGAGUCGAAGUCGCGUCUGACGCGACGACGGCGUGCCUAUUGAAGAAUGAGCCAACGAGUGUAUCGAUACUGCUCGGCUAAGGUGUUACGCACCGUAGUCACAGCGAAAGCGAGUGUGAUAAGCGCGACCAAUGUAGUAUCUAUACGACCCGAAGCAGAGUGAUCUUACCAUGAGCAGGAUGAAGUUCGCCGAAAGGCGAAUGGAGGUCCGAACCGGGGCGCCGUACGAAACGCUCGGAUGACUUGUGGUAGGGAGUGAAAAGCUAAUCGAACUCUGUAAUAGCUGGUUCUCUCCGAAACAGCUUUUGGGUUGGCGUCAUGAGUUCCCACUGGGGGUAGAGCACUGGAUAGUAUCGGAUAGCGGGAAACCGCGCCGAGCUUAUCAAACUCCGAAUACCAGUGGCCAUAUCAUGGCAGUUAGUCUAUGGGCGCGAAGGUCCAUUAGACAAAAGGGAAACAGCCCAGAUCGCCAAAUAAGGUCCCUAAAUCUAUGUUAAGUGCAAGUAAGGAGGUGAAGUUUCUCCGACAAUCAGGAGGUUGGCUUAGAAGCAGCCACCCUUUAAAGAUAGCGUAACAGCUCACUGAUCAAGAGACUCUGCACCGCUAAUAAUCGGGGCUCAAACAUAGUACCGAAUUUGCGGGUUUUCUUGCCCUCGGGCAAGGAAGCGGUAGGAGAGCGUUGUCAUCUGCGUUGAAGCUGAAGGGGUAACCCACAGUGGAGCGUUGACAAGUGAGAAUGUUGGCACAAGUAACCACAACACAGGUAAAAUCCCUGUGCGCCGAAAUCCCAAGGUUUCCCGGGCUACGUUGAUCGACCCGGGGUUAGUCGGUCCUAAGGUCAUGGUGACAAACCGCAGCCGAUGGACACACGGUUAAUAUUCCGUGACGUGUAUCUAUGUCUAUGGGGUGACGGAGGAAAUAAUUAUGCGCGUCUUAUUGGAUUGACGUACGUGUCCGAAGAUAGGAAUUCUAGGUAAAUCCGGAAUUCACAUACUAUCAAGGAAGCGUGGAAGUUUGUCGCAAGACAGACGAACGCAUAUGAAUAGCCUCCCAAGAAAAACCUCUAAGAUUACGUAGGUACACACCGUACCGCAAACCGACACAGGUGGGAAGGUCGAGAAGACCAAGGCGAACGAGUGAGAGGUCCUCAAGGAACUCGGCAAAAAAGCAGCCGUAACUUCGGGAUAAGGCUUGCCACGCUUAGCGUGGCUGCAACAAAAGUUUCUCUGGCGACUGUUUAUCAAAAACACAGCUCCCUGCGAACUCGUAAGAGGAUGUAUAGGGGGUGACACCUGACCAAUGCCAGAAGGUCAAAUAUGGAUGGUUUAUGCUUUGCUUGCAAAGCAUAGGCUGAGCUAUAUAAGCCCUGGUGAAUGUCGGCCGUAACUAUAACGGUCCUAAGGUUCUGUUUCUCUUAGCAAUAAGGGAAACAGAUAGACUGGGACUGUUGUAGGAUGAAGAUAAACAAAUAAAAUUACACAACGCUGCCUAUCAGUUGUAAUAACUGAUGUCAUAAAA
rnacentral:rRNA from 1 species